rnacentral:rRNA from 1 species
GACGAACCUUGCUAACGUUAUUCGGAAUUACUGGGCGUAAAGCGUGCGCAGGCGGUUAUUUAAGUCAGGUGUGAAAGCCCUGGGCUUAACCUAGGAAUGGCGCUUGAGACUGGAUAGCUUGGAGUGUGGCAGAGGGAGGUGGAAUUCCACGUGUAGCAGUGAAAUGCGUAGAGAUGUGGAGGAACACCGAUGGCGAAGGCAGCCUCCUGGGCCAGCACUGACGCUCAUGCACGAAAGCGUGGGGAGCAAACAGG